rnacentral:rRNA from 1 species
AUGAUGCGACUCGUACUGCCUGAUGGUGCUGCUCCUGCUGCAGUGCUGCUUCUUCUGUCGUUGGCAGCAUGGGCGAGCAGUGGUUGGAGUUGUUCAUGGCGAGAACGCGAAGGCUUGUCCGAAACUGGCACUGCUAGUGGCGAUCCGAUCAUUUUGAGUGAUACGUUCGUUGCUACUAGGAGUAGUACUGAAUCGGACAAAGCAAAGAUUGAUGAGAACCUUGUGUACGCGUGUGUGUGUUGCCUUCCGGCCGGCUGCAUGAUCAAUCAGCCGGCUCUAUUGUGCAUGCAUAUGUUAAUUGAUUGGGAUAGAUAA